GGCUCCUUGGCAUUGCGGUCAAAGUUGCAGUUUGGUUCCCUGUAGACCCAGGUUCGAGGCCAGGUGGGGUGA
rnacentral:tRNA from 1 species